rnacentral:misc_RNA from 1 species
GGAAAGCGGUAGCCAUAGAAGCUGAGGAGGUACUUGUUGAGGAGCAGAACACCAAUGUUUGAGAAGUACCAUGAAGCAAUGAUCAAGGCCGUUAAAAUAUUAGGAGAGAAAUUUGAUCCGGGGGUGGAGUAAGCAUUAUUCCGUACAUCACCAGGUGGGGUAGCCGGAAUGUCAAGAACUUGGUCAUUGGUGGUAGCCAAGGUGGUGGAGUUGGCAUCCAGCCUGGGGUUGCUCAUUCUCCUCGUAGCCCAUGUCUGUGCCUCCACCAUCUCCGGCCAAAGGGGCAAAAUGGGUAAUAGAAAAAACUCCUCUCUCACUAAAAUGUGGG